ACACCUCAACUCUCAUGGUUCGCCGUGAUGAGCUUGGACUCUGGGGGUUUUGCUGGCCUGUGGUCGGCUCCUCUCAAAUGAAUCAGCCUCCCAGUGUUUGGCGGCAUCACGGGUGUGAUAAAUAUCUACGCUCGCUGUUGUCUGCCAGGUAACCUUUGGUCACAAAGGUUUGCUGGAGCUCACAGAUGUCUCUCCUCAGCGAGGACAGCUUUUUUAAC
rnacentral:misc_RNA from 2 species